AGAAGAGAGGUGGAGGGGUGGAGAAGAGAGGUGGAGGGAUGGAGAAGAGAGGUGGAGGGAUGGAGAGAGAGGUGGAGGGAUGGAGAGAGAGAUGGAGAAGAGAGGUGGAGGGAAGGAGAAGAGAGGUGGAGGGAUGGAGAAGAGAGGUGGAGGGAUGGAGAGAGAGGUGGAGGGAUGGAGAGAGAGAUGGAGAAGAGAGGUGGAGGGAUGGAGAAGAGAGGUGGAGGGAUGGAGAAGAGAGAUGGAGGGAUGGAGAGAGAGAUGGAGAAGAGAGGUGGAGGGAAGGAGAGAGGGAUGGAGAAGAGAG